GGGGGGGGGGGUAUGCUGAAAAUGAAUAUGUUACUUUGAUAUUUUGGUAUGAUAGUUAUAUUCCCUUGUUUAUGUAAUCCCAGGUUAUGAAUGUGACUAGUCUUGCACGUGUUACGAACUGAAUGAUAUAGUCUUCCUUGAAUGUGCAAGAGAGUGUGUUAGUUAGUGAGGUCCCGGGUCCAGGAAGGUUGGACGGUCGCUUCCUGGACUGUUGUUUUGUGUAUUAUAUUUAUUGAAAGUUGAUGUCAUUAUGUGCUUAUUGAAUAUUAAAGAAUUAUUUGUAUUUCCCUGGACUAAAAAGUCUACUAAAAAGUUCACUAAUGCCCAAAUGAUAAACUCUGAAUGACGAGGUGAAAUCCUAAUUAACACGAGAGGCGUCAUAGACACCGAGGCUGAAACAAGUGAGGAUGCCAUAACAAGUGUUGCCUCUCUAUCGCUUGAAAAAAUAUGGGCUCAAGAGAGAGAGAGAGAGAGAGGGAGGGAGAGAAGGAAGGAGGAAUUUGACUCGCCUGUUUACUUAAAAUCAAGGCAGGUUUGCUACGUGGGACAAAUCCCGCAGGAUAACAGCCAGUCAACCACCAUUGACAAAGACAUUCACCAUCUGCAUAAUCAUCAAACACUGUCUGUGUGUGUGUGUCUAUGUGUGUGUACCUGAGAAGUUCAAACUCUCUCUUGCCCUGGACAAAACCCUGCCAGGUUGUGUUGUUGAGCGCAGCUGUGCGCCAAUAUUACCAUACAGGUCAAGAGCAUAUGGCUUCCCCGAUUAGGCUGGGGGCAAUAGAAAUGAAGGCACUACAAACAAAUUGAGUGAGCUGAUAUACAAAAUCUAUCAGGUAAGGGUAAUCAGUAAAGUUCAAUAUACACAUAAGCAUUUUACUAUCAAAUACACCACUUGAAAAAUAAGUGAAAGAUUGUAUGUUUCAUGGAAUGACAGGAAUGUACGAAAGUGAACAGAAUAAGUAUAUACAUACAGCUACUAAACAGAGCUGUGUUUUUCAAUACUUUCUGUGUGUGUGUGGUCAGUCAUUGAAGAUAUUAAAAUUUAAACAAGUUAGUAAUGUGGCACAACUUCUUAUGGUCACUGCCUCAAGUAGUCAUUACUUCUUAUUGUCACUACUUCUUGUGGUCAAUACUUCUUGUGGUCACUACUUCUU